AUUUGAAAGAAGUCAUAAAACCCUUUAAACACGCACAAACUAAUUUGGAAAAAGUCACAAAACCCUUCAAACCCUUUAGGCGGGAUAAGCAUUUCGAAUUCAAACUAACAUCUCUCUCUCAUAUUCUUGUGAAUCAGGAUCUAGAUCUUCUCCCUCUCUCUCUCUCUCUCUCUCUCUCUCUCUCUCUCUCUCUACCCUUGAAUCAAAGAAGAAGAACAUCAAUCCGUUUCCGGCUUAGAUCGAAGGUGCAUCUCCGGCCAACGUAAAAUUCUAGACCCUAAUCGAGUUUUGGGUUGUUUAAAUGGUUAAUAACCACCGACCUGGACAACGACGGGUGUUCUAGAUUUGUGUACAUCGACCGGUGGUGUUGUCCAUGUCUGAAAAUGACCUUUAAUUUUCAAUUAUUUUUUUACAUUGAUCGACUUCUACAAACUCUACGAUCUUAAAGAUUUGUGCAUCACCGGCAGUCUGUUGAACAUAGACAACGAGAAGAUGCAUGAGGUCGAACAUAUGAAGAUUGAGGAACUCUGAGUUUCGUUUCAUUAGGAACAAGCUAGAUUACUCCUGUUGAAUUCUUCUUUCCAGCUUUUAAUUGAUUGCAAACACUAGGGUUAGGGGUUUUGUUUUUUUUUUUAUUCACACACUUACGAGUUUCGUUGUACAAUUUGUGUGAUUUUAGGAGGCAAGACGAUUGUAUUUUUUUGUACAGUUAUUGAUAAUCCGGAGGAGAAAGCAAUUCUGAUGGAUUCAGAGCGCUUGAAUUGUUUCCAGCCAAGGCAGACCCGGCAAGUGUUCUGUAUUGAGGUUACGAUUUGCAGCAGUUGCAGGGUGAUUUUUGAAUGUAUUUGACUCGGUUUUGAUGAAUGUGAACCCACUAAGCCUUAGGCAACAAACGUGACGUGUUUUUGUAGCCUUGAAGGAAGUUGUGAGGUUCUGUUUUGAACCAGUUCAGGGCUGCUAUUUUAUGAAAGUUGCUAGCUUUUGAUUUGGGUUGUUUUGGUUAAGGUUUCGACCCGUAAUCGACAUUAAGUGAUUUUAUUUGGUUAUGCUUAAUGUUUAUCAAGAUUUUAAGUGAUUUUAGGAUCUACAAUUGAAGGUAAACCAAUAUAGGGGCUGCUGCAUUAUAUAUUAGUUUACCGUUAUAUUUUAGAUGUAGUGUUUGCACAAUAUUGUCUCUAAGACUCUAAUUUUUAGUUUGCAUAUUUUUUUUAAAGUAUAUGUUAGCAUAGUUGUUUUAUUCUCAUGUUUGCGCCAUUGGUGGCUGUUUUCUUAGCGAUUAUACUUAGACUUUUCUGCUAAUGUUUUUUUGAUCUGUGUUUUGUAGCUUAUCACAUUGUCCUCCAUUGUCGUCCUUCAAAAAGGCUUCUUACCUAUUGCAGUACAGUCAUUGUGUUUAUUAGGUAAUAAUAUUUUUAUUCAUAUAAUCUUGUUAAUUUUUCUUAUAAACCUUUCCUUUGAGAAAUCUUAGAAUAGUUUUAAAUUUUUUAACAGUAACCCAGAAUUAGAAUCAUCAGUUUCAACACAUUUAAUUUAAAUUUUUGGGUGUUAAUCUUUAACGGGUUGAAUGAGUUAAAUAAAUAAAAAUAACCGCUAGAGGAAAUGGGUACAGGUGUGGUAGCAGGUAGAUUGGGUGUUUUUUUGUCUUAUGCAUAUGAUUGAUCAACCCCUUAGUAAGUGAUAAGGUUGAACUUGCCACCUCUAAAAGAAACUGUUGUUUUGUUGAUUGGUAUUUAAAACAAAUCAUAUUGGAACUGUUGUUUUGUUGAUUGGUAUUUAAAACAAAUCAUAUUGAAACUGUUGUUUUGUUGAUUGGUAUUUAAAACAAAUCACUUGCCUUUGUAGAGCCAUAUGGUGGAAGAAGCAACAAAAAAAAAUCGUUUGUAUUUUGUUCCCCUCCUUUUUAGUUUUUAUUGUGCUGAAGUAAUAAGAUGCUUAGAUUUUUAACAAAAAAGCAUUCCUUGAUUGCAUCAAGCAUCAAUUCAGUAAGCAUAACUGAUCUUUGGGAACCGAUAGAAGAAGGUCUUCUACCUACUUGCGAUGUGGAGAUUACUCGCCAGGUGUCAAUGAUUUCCAUUACUUUCUCCACUAAGGAACUAAACAAGAAUUCACCAGGAUAAGUUCUAGCUUAUUUUGUAAUGGCUCCUUUUUAAACACUUUUAACAAAUAUGACAUGAGCCUUCUUGGCUAUCUUUUCUUCUUUUUACUAAUAGUUAAAUUUUAUGAUGUCCCUCAAAUAAGUGUAAACCAAGAUUUUGUUUCAAGUUAAAUAUUUUUAUUGAAGAUAUGGCAACAGAAGGAUGUUAUUGGGCAUGAUAGUCACAUGUUUCUGUAUCAAGUUACAUAGUAGUGCAUUCAAUAUAUGGUCCUCUGGAAGUUGGUACCAGGAGGUUAGCGCUGUAAUCUCAGCCUCAAACAUUCUACUUUACAUCAUUACAUUGAGAAUGAAAUCAAGUUUUUUUAAAGGGGACAUAUAUGACAAUUUUUGACCCGUAUACUUCUGAAUGCGUCAAUUCGGGUCAUUUAACAAAUAACUAGCCUACGCAGCCUCUUUAAACAUUUUAUUCAGCAGUUAAAUUGUUAUUAAAGUAACAUAGUUCGUGUACUAAUAUUUGUCAUAUUUAUUAUUUACCAUUUUUUAGAAAUUGGCCAACGUUUGUUUCGUGUCAACCCAUCUUGACCAUACAAAAAGAACCUGAUACCUAUGUUGUCAAAGCGCCUAGGCGCACUCAAGGCGCAUAGGCCGAGGCCGGAGCCUAGGCGCUUAAAAAACGAGGGCUUUUUAAAUAAAGCACAUAGUAUAGAAUACAUUUUUAGGGGUUUAGAGAUGUUUUAGGGUUGCUUAGGACUUGUUUAUGGCUCGUUUAUGAUGUUUUAGGGGCUUCAACCAACUUUUAGCCGGAAUUUGGUUUGAAAUUGCGCCUCAGCGCCUAAAAGCGCGCCUCACAAGUCGCAGCUCACUUCCUGCACCUCAGUGCUUAGGCGCGCAGACCGAUACCCAUCCAUUCAUGUUCCCGUUUCAUAUACCCGCUUUCAAGUUAUCUUAUCUCUACGAACAAUCUUUGCACUGGUCCAGAGUUGGACCUAAUAAUAAUAUGAGGGAAAAAAACUAAAGUAAAAGUCGGCAAAUUGUCGGUUAGACCUAAAUAUCUUCAUACGAUUGUAGGACAUAGUAAGAUAAUCCCCCAGCUUACUUUUUUUAAUCCUUAAUGAUCCAACAUUUUUAAAGGGCAAUGAUGAUCGAUCAAUAUUUCUAAUCGUACCCCUAUGUUUCAAAGCUCCUUGCAGGAACACUUUGGAAAAUCAUCAACAUGAUCACAAUUGAAAAGUGUAACCAAAUAUAAGCUAAGUUAAUAACCAUUCACUUAAUGCUCAAAAUUUAACUAGAGUUGUAGCUUUUUGAUGUAAUUUUGAAAUUUUGAAUUUUAUAUGGAUAUUUAGAAACUUCGAUUCAUUUUUUAUACCAGAAAUAAUGACGGGUCAUUGAAUAUGUCAGUGUUCUAUAUGUCACAGCUUCCUAAAAAUGUACCAUUUUAGCAAGCUUACAUCUAAUAAAUCAAUUAUUUUGGUCAAAUAUGGCAUUCUAAAUUAGUGUUCCAAUAGGUUUAGGAAA